ACGGGGCGCAGCAGGCGCGAAAACUUCACAAUGGGGGAAACCCCGAUGAGGGAAUUCCAAGUGCCAGCACAUUGUGUUGGCUGUUCUCUGGUCUAAAAAACCGGAGAAGUAAGGGCCGGGUAAGACGGGUGCCAGCCGCCGCGGUAAUACCCGCGGCCCAAGUGGU
rnacentral:rRNA from 1 species